GGGCGCGGGGGCCGGCGGUGCCUCGCCCGGGGAGGUAAAGGCGCUGCUAUCUCCCGCCAGCUGAAGAGCGCGGGGAAAGGGAGGUGGGAGGCUGCUUUCAGCGCGAUGUGCAGCCCGGGCAGGACCUGCCUCCGGCGCUUGGGGGGAUCUACAGCGAGAAGCCUAAACACCCGGAAACGAGGGGACCCUGCAACUUCCCACUGCCUCGAACAAGUGCCCGAGCCCAGAAGCGGCUGGGAUUUACCUGGGAUGCGAGACUCGGGGAUCCUCCUUCACGUCCUGGGUCCGUAUGAGAGGCUGCACGUCGGCGGCUGCCCCCAGCCCUCGGAGCGCGCCCGAAGGCUUCACGUCCCUCUUGGCUCGGCUCAGUGCCCAUUUCGUCCAUCUGAAAGAAGCGCAAGGGAAGAGGACAGCCUGUUAGCGCAAGCCUGCGGGGCGGGAGCCAAACCAAAUAGAUUCGAGGGGCGAUAAUCUUUGCCAGCGCCGAGAUUUUUUUUUUUUUUUAAUGUUUCCUGAAAGGGCACGAGGCCUUUAAGGAGCUGUGCAAUUCCCGCAGGGAAUCCGGUCCCUCUGAUCACGGCCGGAGCCCGGCGCGGGGGCGCGGAGGCUCCGCAGCUCCACAAGCGGGGCUGGGCGCUGGCAGGAGGGUGCGCUCCGAUACUCACUUUCUUUUGAACUCUGUCGCUACGUCCACCCUUGCAGCAUCCACCCCGAAGAAAGUCACGGAGCCGAGACAGAGCAGGGCUACGUGAACUAGUUUCAUUCUGGCUGGGCUCCUGGUGGAGGGAAAAGAGAAGAACUGUAAGCAUGGUUGCUAAUAAAAGUCAGUCUUUAACAUCUUUGCUCCGUGGCGCUUCAGAAAUGCAGAGGUCCGGCUUCGCAGGGGGUGCUGGAAGCCAGCACCAGAUGGACUGUUUCUCUACCUACGUGUCGCAAUGCAAAUUCAGCAGAACCGGGGAAAAUGCCCCAGGAGACCUGAGCUCUGGGGCGUCAGGGUCCCCUUCCCGGCGAGGGCUACUCUGGAGGAGGGAAUGAACUGGCGUGUGCGAGAUGUUUCUCUAACAUCUUGCCCCAAGCAAAGUGUUUAAAAAAUCUGGUGAGUAUAGGGGCUGCAGCCCCACAGUUCUUCCCCCGGGAUAAAUAUAUGGCUGCUUACUGGGUCCUUCUGGAGACCUAGGACUUGGUGUCCUCCCAGAGCCACUGCUCUAUGAGCCCCUUCAUCUCCCAUGAGGAGCCAGGCUACUCUGCUGCAACAGAGGGAAUUACACUUUUGAUGGUCUGGAUGAAAGUUCAGUUUACUUUGCAUUAGACUUCAGGUGAGCAAACAAUCUGCUCCACUUCCUCGUUUGUCCUAUAAGAACGUAAGAUUGUUCUAUACGUAAGGGAAGUUAAGGAAGUAAUUACGGAUGACUGACUCCUUUUGCUGUCCAUGCCGGUACACAGCUCUCUUCAAACCCAGAUGAACUGUUACAUGAGUACUUAAGAUGUGCCACUUCUUAUGACAUGCUUUAGAAACAAACCAAGCUUUGGCUAUAUUGGUCAAGAUGGAAGAAGGAGCAAGGCUGUAAAAUGGGCGCCAGUAGUUUUGGGGAAUCAAUAAGUAACAUCUUCCUUUUGAUCUAGCAUUUGUUAGUGCCCUGGGAAAAGUGUUAUGUGAUACUCUCCUGCUAGACGUGCUGGCUUAAAAGAGCAAUGAGACUUAACUAUUGAGAUUUGUUAUUGCAUAUUGAACCUUUUUAUGAGUGCAGAUAAGAUAACUCUAAGGUCCCAUUUCAACUCCAAAUUAGGUUGUUUCAUCGUGUCUCUAAACUGUCCCUCCAGGUUUAGCUGUAUAGAACAUUAUCCCUUGCAUUAUCUUUUGUAAACUGUUGCAUGUCCUGGCUUUGUGCUGUUGAACAGCUGCAGCGUCCCCCUCCAGAAGUUAUGGCGAUGAGCUUUAUCCUUGUCCACCUCACAGGGGUAAUGUGUGGCUUCAUUAAGAUUUGCGUCCCUUUGUUUCUACUUCAGAAAUGCUUUUAAUCAAAAAGCUCAGUGUUUUGAAAACAGCUUUGUGGGUUUCAGUCAUUAAAGUCUACAGGAUCACGAACCAAAAUGCCUAUGCAUAACUUAAGGAAGGUGUUCCUUCUUCUAGCUCCUACCUCAUAUAGGAGGUGACUGACCCCACAGAGUGCAUCUCUCUCAGAGAGUAUAUUCAAUCUUUUCAAUGUAUAUAUUACACGUUUUUCUUUACUCCUAAAGUUAACAAGCAAUUAUUUUAAGUUUAGGUCUUUCUACGUGGCAUCUACUUUGAAACAGUUAACCCACAAAGUUGAUUACUCCAAGGAGAUUUCCACCGCUGCCCUCUGCUGAGAAGGCACAAGUGAGAACACUGUAAUUGAUUGUCGAAGCUUCCCGACCAAUUUGCCUCUGGGUUACCAGCAAGACACUGCAUUGGUGUCCCAGCUAAGAAGGAGGUGUAAGAAUUGCAUGUUUGAAAUAAGAAUGUCUCUGUGAAACUGCUAA